rnacentral:lncRNA from 1 species
UCCGUGAUUAAAUUCGUCCGAAUUAAAUUCGACGUAUGAAACAGGCCUUAGUGAAGUUCUAACAUGCUGUAAAUUUGUGAGUUUUGCGUUUAUAGUGGACAAAUUCAGUAUUGUUUGCAAUGUUUGUACUAACUUUGUUACGUUUUCGCGGGAAAAAUAAUUGUAAACCGUCAAAUGUUUGCAGCAAAAUCAUGUAAAGUUUGAAGUCCAAACAUGUUAUGUUUCAUGUCCAAUUAGAUCGCGUUUUCUCAUGACGUGUUUCCGCUUAGUUGCAAUCGACGGUAUUUGAUU